rnacentral:lncRNA from 1 species
CACUUCCAAGAACUUCUUGAUUGUCGUUUAUGGAUUCUUCAUGAAAUUCGGGUUUGUUGGCUUGGAUGGACCAAGUGUCGGUUUCACUGGAAAAACUCUGAUGGUGUCUGAUGAAUGGCACAGAGGAUUGGCUCCAAGAACUUCUUGAUUGUCGUUUAUGGAUUCCUCAUGAAAUUCAGGUUUGUUGGCUUGGAUGGACCAAGUGUCGGUUUCACUGGAAAAACCCUGAUUGUGUCUGAUGAAUGGCACAGAGGAUUGGCCAUAGAUGUGCCUUGCUGCUUUUCAAAAAGGGUAUUAAUCUUUAUUAAAUUAUGUUACAGUCCCUGUAAUACUUUUCAUUUGGCAGCUGUCUUUAAAACAAUUUUUGGACCGUCUACUUCAUGCAAGUUAAGCUACUGUCUAUUUUAAUAGGUAAAUAGAUUAAACAUUAAAAUAUGGAUUCAUUAUUGUAUAUAAAACAGUAAAGGCAUAAUUUGAAAAUCAAAGCCUUGUACAUCAUAGGAAAAAAUCUGAAUAUUUUACAGUAAAAAAAACAAUAGAUAGGUUAACAUGAAUGUGGUUAAUGAGCAACAUCCUAAUUACGGUAACAGUUUUUGUCGACAUGUGAAGUAAAUGUCAGUAAAUCAGUAAAUUUAUAUUUCUAGUUCUCAAGAAAGUUAAUGUUAUUUUUUUCCCCCCUUCUAAGCACUUCCAAGAACUUCUUGAUUGUCUUUUAUGGAUUCUUCAUGAAAUUCGGGUUUGUUGGCUUGGAUGGACCAAGUGUCGGUUUCACUGGAAAAACUCUGAUGGUGUCUGAUGAAUGGCACAGAGGAUUGGCCAUAGAUGUGCCUUGCUGCUUUUCAAAAAGGCAUUGGAGUCUGAAAGCCCCACACCUUCCACUACCUAAUUAAAGCUAAAGCAGUUGAGUACACUUUCUUCCAUUCAUAAUUAUAUGAGUGUACCAUAUUUGUCAUAUCUGAAGUCUUUGAUGAUAUCUCCUGUUUCAGCUCGGAAUGUCUAUCUAUCGAAUUGUUUAUUUAUUGUUUAUUUUCUUUUUAUUUUAUUUAUUUAUUUUUUCUUUUUAUUACUUAUACGUUAAUUUGUUUUAUUUUAUUUUGUUUUAUUUUCUUUUAUUUAUUUAUUUAUUUUUCUUUUUCCUUUUUUUUCUAGGUUGUGGCCUGAAUUUUUUUGUGUGUGUGUGUGUUUUGUGUGUGUGUUUGUUUCUGGCUGUUGACCGGGGGUGGUCACUGAUUGCCAUGAUAACAAUAGCUGGAGUACAGAAGUGUCACCAUGAGCUCCCGACCUCCUGACCUCUCUGUGGCUCAGCUGUUUUAGGACUUUUUCAGAACUACAUCUUUUUUGGUCACCACAAUCAGGAUGUUCAGUGGGGAUUCAUCGGUGGAUUCCACCUAUGGAAAAGUUUAGGCUGGGAGUGUGUUGUCAUACCAGCAGAAACAAUCUGCAUCAUUACUCACCAUCAUGAUGCCCCAUCACCACCACAUCUACCACUUACUGGUUACAGCCUUGAUACAUCUGUCUGCUUGUUUGUCCAUAGCGAACAUAUUUGUUUUUGUAUGUAACCAACACAUUUGUACAGGAAAUGUAACAAUUUAUAUUGACAUGUUUACAUUAUCUACAUUUGUACAAAUAAAUGCAAAUUUAUCAAUUUACAAUUUCUAUACUAAAUAUUAUUUUAAUUAAUAUAUAUAUAUUCUGUUGUAUUUUCGUAGAGAGUGAAAGUAGCCAAGGGUAUUAAGGGAAUAAAAAAAAGUCUUCUCUAGUGUAUACUCUAGAAAUACUUUGCUUGUAUUAAGGAAACCAUAAUCACUAAUGUCUACACUGGAAGCGACGGGACUGGACAAAUCCCCUUCAGUAAAAUCAUUCCUCGUUCUAUUUUUGGCGUAGUCCAAGCUCUUUGCAACAACGGUUGCGUAUGGUGUGACAUGGUGUUACAUUAAAAACCAGAGUUCUACUGAUUCAUUUGCUUUUUCACAUAUGUCUCCGCAACGUACGUGUGCUAUCUGGGGUGAAAUAUUAAUACAAUUUAGAAUAAAUUUAAAAUUAUUUUUUCUAUGUGAAUAUAUUUUAAAAUGUAACACAUUCCUGUGAUUCAAAGCUGAAUUUUCUGCAUCAUUAUUCCAGUCUUCAGUGUCACAAGAUCUUUCAAAAACAAUAGUGUAACAGUUAAAGUCGAAUAACAGUAAGUUAGUUUUUGCUCUGAUGAACCAAAUUUAUUUAUUAAUGUCAGUGAUAUGUCCAGCAAUUCUGAAUAGUUAUGAUUAAUGAAAUGAAACAAUGUUACCAUUUGAGUGUUAUUUGUAAAUUCCUACUCCUAUUGCACAAAAAUAAAUAAUCAAGAAUGAAAAGAAUAAACUAAAACUGACCAAGAUAGAAUUCUGGGAAUGUUUGCAAAAAAUAACCAUGAGGGAACGUUCUCUAUAGGUUAUUUUUAAAAUAACCACCCUGCAACGUUUUUGGAACGUUAUUUUAUGGUUGCAAAAAAAUAACCUAAAAAUAACCAUAAGGGAACGUUCUCUAUAGGUUAUUUUUAGGUUAUUUUUAAAAUAACCACCCUGCAACGUUUUUGGAACGUUAUUUUAUGGUUGCAAAAAAAUAACCUAAAAAUAACCAUAAGGGAACGUUCUCUAUAUGUUAUUUUUAGGUUAUUUAAAAAUAACCAUCCUGGAACCUUCCGGGAACGUUAUUUUAUGGUUUGGAAAAAAAAUAACCUAAAAAA